CCUACUUGGAGUAUACCCUCCACAGUCUCCAAUUAUCAAGGCACCCACAUCGCUGGGCAAACUGUACAAACUUUAACAGAACCCUUUUAAACUUCUUAGACUUUUAACCUUUUUUAAACUUCUUGAUUCCUAUCAUCCUCAAUCAUCAGGCAUUGAUGAUCCUCAAUCAUCAGGCAAAGUUAAAAAAAAAAAAAAACUAAUGGAAAAACUGGGUUCAAGUAGAAGAACUAUUAAAUUACAUUCGAUACAUGAACAAAGGAAGAUGCUCCAAUGUUUUGCUUUGUCAGAUUUAAAGAAAUCUUUUCUCUUAAGCUAACUAAGACUUAUAGCAAUUUGUAAGUAGAAUUAAAGUAUUUAUCUUUUUCUCCAUAUGUGAUCCCUCCAGAAUUUGGAAACUUUUGAUAAAACAACAGGAGAACUGCUGAAAAGACAGCAAUUUGCUGACAGCCCCCCCUCACCUGACUAAACAUCUCGCAGUGGUGUCUGGACACCACCCCACCACUGGCAACCCACAGGAAGCUGGUUCAAGUCACGACCUACAUUCAGCCCAUGCCACCCUCUGAUGCCUCGUCCGUGGGACUAGAUAGAACCCAAGCAGCCAAGAGGGCACUUGGGCAUCAAAGGUCCUGAAUAUUCCCCUAACUGAUCAAAGGUGUCACCCUGGUGAACCUAUGAUCAAGACGGGGAACUGAUAAAAGAAAGAGAUAAGAACCAACCCAGAGUCAACAGGACAGUUACCAUGUACCUCAAGGAUGAACUACAGGCAGAAAUAAAAAAUUACAUUUUAACCUUUACUGUUGCCAGAUGGCUGAAGAACAAUGUGGCAGUUUUUCCCUGCAGUUAGGACAUUUGGAAAGCCCCAGGCACAAGAUAAACUCUAGCUGAAAAGGUCAACCAAUCAGAACUGGACUCAGCCUGAAGCUUGCAUACUCUGCACUUUUUGCCUUUAAAACCCAACCACUCCAAGACCGAGGGGGGUCACCUAUCAACUUACAGGUUGAGGUGUAGUUUUCCAGUUUGCACUUUGUGUGUCUGUCAGACCCAUUCUUCCAUGCAUUUUUACCUGUAUCACACACACACACAGACUCCCAAAUAAUAUAACCAUAAAGUUAACUUCAAUGGAGUAAUUGUGUCCUUUUUUUCACUUAACAUACUCUGGAGAUCUCUCCCUGCCAGUAAACACACUUCUAACUUCAUUCUUUUUGUCACCUUCAUAGAAUUCUGUUCUAUGACUACACCAGGAUUAAUGGAAUAGAUGUGCAUCUAAGUAGUUUCUAAUUUUUUGCUAUUGCAAACAAGCUUCAAUGAGAAUUUUCUCCACACAUGUGUCAAUAUUCCUAUGUGAUCCAUUCCUAGAAGUGAAAGAGCAGAGACAAUAGGCAUGAUAGCUACUGCCCAAUAGCCUUCCAUAAAGCGUACGCCAACUUAUACUCUCACACACAAUGCAUGAGAAUGCCUGUAUUCCAAUACCC
rnacentral:lncRNA from 1 species